rnacentral:tRNA from 1 species
UAUCUUCGGUGGGCUUAGCCCACUCUUUUAGGCUGAAAAUCUAAUGUGCGAAAUAACACCUCGGAGAC